rnacentral:rRNA from 1 species
UACGUGGGGGGUAAGCGUUGUUCGGAAUUACUGGGCGUAAAGGGCUCGUAGGCGGCCAACUAAGUCAGACGUGAAAUCCCUCAGCUUAACUGGGGAACUGCGUCUGAUACUGGAUGGCUUGGAUUCGGGAGAGGAAUGCGGAAUUCCAGGUGUAGCGGUGAAAUGCGUAGAUAUCUGGAGGAACACCGGUGGCGAAGGCGGCAUUCUGGACCGAUAUUGACGCUGAGGAGCGAAAGCCAGGGGAGCAAACGGG